CCUACGGGCGGCAGCAGUGGGGAAUAUUGCACAAUGGGUGAAACCCUGAUGCAGCGACACCGCGUGAGCGAUGAAGUAUUUCGGUAUGUAACGCUCUAUCAGCAGGGAAGAAAAUGACGGUACCUGACUAAGAAGCCCCGGCUAACUGCGUGCCAGCUGCCGCGGUAAUACGGAGGGGGCAAGCGUUAUCCGGAUUUACGGGGUGUAAAGGGCGCGUAGACGGCUGUGCAAGCCAGAUGUGAAAGCCCGGGGCGCAACCCCGGGACUGCAUUUGGAACUGUGUGGCUGGAGUGUCGGAGAGGCAGGCGGAAUUCCUAGGGUAGCGGUGAAAUGCGUAGAUAUUAGGAGGAACACCAGUGGCGAAGGCGGCCUGCUGGACGAUGACUGACGUUGAGGCUCGAAAGCGUGGGGAUCGAACAGGAUUAGAUACCCUUGUAGUC
rnacentral:rRNA from 1 species